rnacentral:lncRNA from 1 species
CCAAUGCUUUCACUCCAGUAUAUAGCCCGGUGCUUGUCAGCAGAAUAGAUAAGAAUAGGAUAAAGAUAGCACUCCAAGGACUUCAUAUAAAUUGUGAAAAAAAGUAAAAAUAUUUAUUCAGCAACUGCCACAGAUAAUCAACUUUCCUCAGGAUAAGGGUGCAAUACAAUUAACACAGUAUAAAUAAUAAAGUAAAUCUAUAAAAUACAUUGCAUACCCCUAGCUGUGUGGGUCUGUGAUGUUUUGAACAAAUCAGCCAAUAAUUCCUGUAUAACGAAGUACUCCCUUUAUUAAUACAUAUAUAACAGCAUCUUCAUACUGCAACCUUGUUACACAGGGUUUCAAAUCCCUCGAACAUUCCACCAACUGCCAACAGGAACAGGAAAUAAAGAACCAAAAGAAAGGAAGUGCAUCAUUCACAGCCAACAACAGCCCAACUGCUCAAUGCCCAUACAUCACAAUACAUACACUCAUACACUCACACACAGCCCAACUGCCCAAACAUCACAAUACAUACACUCACACACUCAUACACAGCCCAACUGCUCAAUGCCCAUACAUCUCAAUACAUACACUCACACACUCAUACACAGCCCAACGCCCAUACAUCACAAUACUUACACUCAUACACAGCCCAACUGCCCAAUGCCCAUACAUCACAAUACAUACACUCAUCCACAGCCCAACGCCCAUACAUCACAAUACAUACACUCACACACUCAUACACAGCCCAACCACCCAUACAUCACAAUACAUACACUCACACACAGCCCAACGCCCAUACAUCACAAUACAUACACUCACACACUCAUACACAGCCCAACCACCCAUACAUCACAAUACAUACACUCAUCCACAGCCCAACGCCCAUACAUCACAAUACAUACACUCACACACUCAUACACAGCCCAACCACCCAUACAUCACAAUACAUACACUCACACACAGCCCAACGCCCAUACAUCACAAUACAUACACUCACACACUCAUACACAGCCCAACCGCCCAUACAUCACAAUACAUACACUCAUACACUCAUCCACAGCCCAACUGCCCAAUGCCCACAGCCCAAACAUCACAAUACAUACACUCAUACACAGCCCAACUGCCCAAUGCCCAUACAUCACAAUACAUACACUCACACACUCAUACACAGCCCAACCACCCAUACAUACACUCACACACUCAUACACAGCCCAACCACCCAUACAUCCUAAUACAUACACUCACACACUCAUACACAGCCCAACCACCCAUACAUCACUAUACAUACACUCAUACACAGCCCAACCGCCCAAUGCCCAUCCAUCACAAUACAUACACUCACACACUCAUACACAGCCCAACCGCCCAUACAUCACAGGGUCCACCUCCCAAUCACUGAAAAACGCAGGUAAACUUGACCCUGUUAGCAUAUUCAGCAGCUGGCGAUUAUGCUGCUGUUCACCUUUGCGUUCCAGCGGGUGCCGAGGAGAUCAGCUGGAACGCAAGGGGGCGCAUGGUCUUGUGUACGUGUAACCAUAGCGAACAGCCGGUGCUGAGUGUAAGUGGUCAUGGAGGGGAUAUCGAAACACAGGGCUCAGGGGAAGAUAAUUGCAUAAUACAUAACAUGAAUAAGUUGCUAAGCACAUCAUAUGAAUCAGAUCUAGUGAGCAUUUCAAUAAAUACUUGAUGCACAAUAUAAAACGUACAUUACAUAUUCAGGCAAUCCAUUGUGAGUUGUGAGUGCAGUAGGACCGAGUCCAAAUUGAUGCUGCAUGCCGUGAUUAUAGAACAAAAAGGUAAUGGUUCAGCGCUAAACAAUCUAAAAGAAACUAAAACAAAAUGUAAAAGCAGCAACCUAUAGGAAUGAGGUCCCUCUAAAAACCUCACAUGGAAUAGGACAAACAGAAAUGGGUAUAUAGGUCGCGCUAAGGGGACAAGGAGGUAAAAUAAAUGAAAUAAAUAAAAGUGAUAAAAAAGUCCCAAAUAUAAAUAAACCUGUG